AGCUAUUAUUGUUCUUGCAUAUAUAGAUGAAAAAUAUUAUGAGAUGCAGUUAAAGAUUAAAUAUCUAACCAUUUAUUUAAGAUGUCUAAAUUUUCACCAUUUAAAAUUAAAUCAACUAUUUGUUUGAUAUUACAGAGAGUCUCUCAAAAUUACAACUCAACUACAAUGUAAAGUUCAUUGUUAUAAUAAUUUGGAAAAAUUAUGAAUUGUAAUUUUUGUAAAAUUUAUUGACAUACCAAAGAUACAUUCAAUUAGUUUGGUGAAGCUAGUAGCGGCCUACCUGAUGAGUCCAUACUAUUUUGCCAUUCCUAAUUACAUACAAAGUGUGUCCUUCUAUAAAAACGAAUACAAUACAAACCAUCUUGACAAUACUAAAUAAUACAAUAUUUCAUAUUGUUUUUUUAUAUAAUUUAUAAAUACUAUAGCGAAUUAUUAUAAAAUCAUUACUAAUUUGUAUUUUAAUGAAGAAAUAUUAUGUGCUUUAACACAAAACAAGAAAGAUAUAAUGUACAAUGUUUUCUUUUAAAACUUUUGAGUUAUUACCACAAAUCAAAUACAAAAUUUAUUAUUUUUAGUUUUUGAUCAAAUUGAAGUGGUCUAAAAACUUAAAAGAUCUAUUUCAAUUUGUAAAUUGUUUUAGUUGCAUAUGCGGUGUUUUUUUGAGAUUGAAAUCUAUUGUCAAAUUGAAGAAAGAAAGUCAGAAAGUUCUUAUAUUAUAUACUAAAUAAAGUUGUUUCCGUUUUUUUUUUCCUUUGAGUUAAGUUAUCUUUUAGAGCUUAGAUUCCAUUAUUUUCUGUUGUUUCACCUUGAAGUGUUUUUGCCUUUCCAUUCAUCUUUUCUACAAACUUGAUUUACGUAAUGUCUUGGAAAAUUCAGUAAUGAAGUGCGUAUAUUAACAAAAUAGAAGAAAAGGUGGGUUUAAUAUUUGUUCACGAAUCCAUUAAAAUGAGAAAACGAUGUGAAAGUGCUUACUGGGUAUUGCUUGUAAUCCCGAUUCCUUCAAUCCCCUUUCUCAAGAUUCUCAAUACUAUGUAUGCUAAAUUAUAACAAAUAACUCAUCAUUUUGUCACUAUAUUAUAUACUCACUAUAAACAAAUAUUAGUGAUUUUGUAUGUACAAUUUUCAAGCCAUUUAAUUUCUACUUUUUAUAUAAAUAAUUGAAGCUAUGGAGGAACUUCACCCUCUUCUAAUUGAGAUUUUAAAAAUGUUUUAUACAAUGUUUAUUGAAAUAGAACAUCAAUUUAGGCUUAGUGUCUUCAUAGACAAAUAACAGAACAAUAGUCUUUUGAAUGGGUAUUUUUUUUUGAAUAAUAGUUUUUCUGAAAACAAUUCAUCAAUUAAAGAAUUCUAAAAAUAUCGUAAGUGUUGUAUAAUGAUCAUCACAUAAUAUUUCUAAAUAUUUAUUUUUUGAUAAAGUUUUUUUUAUAAACUUGUAUUAUUUCUAAAUAUUUAUUUUUUGAUAAAGUUUUUUACUUUUUUUUUGAGAUAUUAACCAAUAAUAAAAAGAGCAUGUGAUGUCUUAAAGAAGACAGUUGAGUCAACAAUAGGAAAAUAUGAAUGAAAAUGAAUAUGAAGGAUACAAUAAGCAUAACUUUGUCUUGUUUUUGUCACUUGUACUUAAUGGGUAAAAUCAUAGUUCAACUUGACAAAAACUAUAACUAGUUCCACAAUUAGUUUAAUGUACAUGUUUAUUGAUCACUUGUAUGCAACUAUUUUUUGAUAAUAUUCUUUCAUCUAGAUAAAACCUUUCUAGUUCUGGUAUCUUCUUUCGAUUUGCCUUAAUUCCUUUUAAAUCAAAUUCCUUUUGAAAUAAUGUAAACUUUGAUAGUAACACAUAUACUCAGAAUCUUGUUAGCUCUCACGCUUGUCUUUUAUAUGAAUGUGUCUAAAUAGUUUGUGAAAUGUGAGAGUAAUUUAUAAAUUAUUAUUUGCCUCCAUUAUAAGUGAUGUGACAUUUUUUUAUAUAAUCGAAACAAAUAUAUAGCUAAGAACGUACAUUCUUUUAAUUAUUAACAAGUUUCAUUUUACUAAUUGAUAAGGAAAUACGUGAACUGGCAAAAUAUUCAUUUGUGUUGGUAGGAGUGGAUUUGGUAAUGCCAUAUAUGUGGCUUACGUAUUGAAUCGCUUUUGUAAUUCAUUACAUCACAAAUUUUUGUAAUUCAUUACAUCACCAAUACCAUACACUUUUACCUGUUGUGGCAAAGGUUGUUUUGGUUUUCACAUUGUGGAAAUCUGUUUGGGACAUUUACCCAUAAAAGGUGGAAGAAGAAUAAGAGUGGAACUCGAAGGGGUUCGGUAUGAAUUAUUUUAGGGUAAUCAAAUAAGUAUAUUAACUAAAUUAAUCAAGGUUUUGUUUUUAAGUUAGUAUUAAACAAAAGGUGAAAAAUAAGCACACAAAAAAAUAUAUAAGUUGGUUAAUUGAUUCUUAUAUACUACUUAAUUUUUAACUUUAUAGGAGUUCCUUGAUAUUCCUGCAAUCCCCUUUCUUUGCUCUCCUCGUCUUAUGUUGGUUUCUCAAGAUUCUCAAUACUAUGUAUGGUAAAUUAUAAACAAAUAACUCAUCAUUUUGUCACUAUAUUACACUAUAAACAAACAUUAGUGAUUUUGUAUGUAAAAUUCCCAAGCCAUUUAAUUUAUACUUUUUAUAUAAAUAAUUGAAGCUAUGGAGGAACUUCACCCUCUUCUGAUUGAGAUUACAAAAAUAUUUUAUACAAUGUUUAUUGAAAUAGAACAUCAAUUUAGGCUUAGUGUCUUCAUAAACAAAUAACAGAACAACAGUCUUUUGGAUGGAUAAUUAUUCUUUUUAGAUAAUAGUUUUUAUGAAAACAAUUCAUCAAUUACAGGAUUCUAAAAAUAUCGUUAGAGUUGUAUAAUGAUCAUCACAUAAUAUUAUGGUAAGUUAUAGUAAUUUGAAAAAAUUACAAAUAUAAUUUUUGUAAAAUUUAAUGUCAUACCAAAGAUACACUCAAUUGGUUUGAUGAUGUAAUGGAUAAAGUAAACAUAAAAAAAUAAAAAAAAAUAAAAAAAGACAAAUUUUGAAUGACAAAAACGAUACAAUACGUAGACCACAUAUAUGACAUUACUAAAAAAACUCCUACCAACUCAAACGAAUGUUUUUCACUUGGUUGACGUAAUUUCUUAUCAAUUAGUAAAAUGAAACUUGUAUAAUUAAAAGAAUGUAUGUUCUUAGCUAUAUACUUGUUCCAAUUAUAUCAAAUAAUGUUACAUCACUUGCAAUCGAGACUAAGAAUAAUUUAUAAAUUACUUUCACAAUUCACAAACUAUUUAGACACAUUUAUAUAAAAGAUAAUUGUAAGAGCUGACAAAAUUCUGAGUAUAUGUGUGAGUGUCAAAGUUCACAUCCUUUCAAAAGAAAUUUAAUUUAAAAGGAAUUAAAGUCAAUCGAAAAAAGAUACCAAACUUGAAAUGUUUAAUCUAAAAGAAAUAAUACAUUAAACUGAUUGUGGAAGUGGAGAAGCAGUAAGCACCUCAAGCAUGUUUAAUGCAUAAGUUAUAGUUUUUGUUAAGUUGAACUAUGAUUCUACCCAUUAAGUGCAGGUGAUGCAUGUUACAUAAUACUUCACAUUCAUUUCAUUCAUAUUUGCCUAUUGUUGACUCAACCGUCUUCUUUAAGACAUCACAUGUUCUUUUUCAGAUUGGUUAAUAUCUCCAGAAAAAAAUUUAAAAUUGGUUAAUAUCUCCAGAAUGAAAAAACAAACCAUUUUUCAUUAAACUAUGGAUAACAAACAUAAAUGAGGUAUAGACUAGACAAACCUUUGAUUCUUUUAAAAUAAAAAAUCAAACAAUAAAACCUUAUAAAUACCUUAUUAUAUUUCACUUUCUCUUAUCAUAUCCUAUCAAUCCAGUGAACGCUUAAAAGUUGAGUCAUAAAAAUUUUAAAAAUAUAGUUGUAAAUUAUAUAAUUGAGAACGUGUUUUACAACCGUGGCAGUAACGUUCAUCUACCACAUAAGGUGCGUAUUCUUCAAACUUAUGAGUAAAGUGAUUAGUUAAUACAAUUUCUUGACUUAAUGGUUUUAACUCUUAUUUUUCAAAUCAUCAUGUUCACAUUUUUUUUCCUUUACAAAAAAAAAUGUUACCAUAUUUCAGGGCUGAAAUAAUUGAAUUAAUCAAUUUGAAAUGCAAUGAGAAGAACAUAUUUUAAUUAAAGAUACAAAUAUGCUAACUUUGAAAGAGAAUCUCAUUGUUUAAACCAUAAUAUAUUACAAUUACAUUUAUUAAAAUCAAAGGAUGCCAAUUGAUUGACUUGUUCGAUUCAAUUUUAAAAACAUUAAUAAUUAUUGAAGUAGUUAUUAGAGAUGCACUUUUUAAUUAAUUUUUUUUAAAGUUAGUAUUUAGUAAUAAGUACUUAAUCGUUGGUACUCAUUCUGUCCAUUUUUAUAAGUGAUAAAUAAAAUGCAAAUUAGUCAACAAAUAUAUGAUAAAUUGAAGGUAAUUAUGAUAAAAAUUAAAUAUUUUUAAUAAUUUAAAUAUAUUUUUAUUAAAAUAUAAAAAAGUAUUUAUAUAGUCAAAUAUAAGGUAAUCUACGGAUUAACACACUGCACGGUAGGUAACAACCAUUAUAAACAUCUUACAUAUUAUUCAUUAUGAUCUUCAAAAAAAUUAAAAUCACAAUCUAGCCUGAUAGAUUCCUACCUAUAAAUGAUGGGGAAAAAAUAGUUAUGUCCCAAUGAUUCUUUUAAAAAUUCCAUAUAUAGAAGUAAUUUUCAAUAUUGUGAACUGGGUGUUAAAAAGUCAACUAAAAAUAUAAAUUUAAAGGUUUUUAUAUGGGAAAACACAGAAAACAGGAAAGAAUGCAAUAAAAUAUAAGAGAAGAAAAGAAAAGAAAAAAACCUUAUCUGCCCCGAUUCCCUUCCUCUUAACAAGAAUUGCCAUAGUUGAAUGUGAACAACUCGAUUGGUGUGAAAACACUUCUUUGAUCCGUCGUCUUAGGGCCGAGUAGCGAUCCAUUAAUGAAAGGCCCAGAUGUAGCCUUUGUGUGCGGAGCAAAUAUUUGAUGUUAUGGUCUCUACAUAUGAAAACUAUAUCCUAUUAUAUGGUUCAAAACAAUCAAGAGUAUUCAAAGCCUUUUUUUUUUUACAAUGAAAUACUUAAAAGCUGUAAAUUCUAAUAAGUCACUCACUUAAUU
rnacentral:lncRNA from 1 species